UCAUCCCAGAAAGUGCCAUAGAAAGGGGAGUUCAGUAAGAAGAGGAAGUCUAAGGAGGCUGGAAGUGACUCUUUGCUCAGCAAAAACUGCCUUAGCAGGAGAAAAUGGCAGUGUGCAAGAUGGGGAAAGGAUGGGGUCACACAAAGAAAAAGAGCUAGAGUUGACCUAUUUUCCACUCUGGGAAUGAGAUAUAAGCUAGGAGGCAAGCCUGAGGCUGAGACUCCACCAGGGAUGGCAGAAUCUUCGGAAGAAUUGGAGGUGCUGGCCAGGGCAGAGGUCAAGGUCUUGACGGAGGCCAUUGAUGAGGGUAAUCACCUUUUUGAUUGAUGUGCAAGGAGCUGCAAACUGCUUGAUUGAGGACCAUCUACCUAAAGUUAGCUUCUUUCGGGGUUUAACUGGACUGUGUGAUUGAAGACACUCUGACUCAGGUGAAUGAAAAAGAGACCAAGUGAAAAAACUAAGUGAUUUAAUGACCUGAAUGUAUCCCAUAGAGUGGAAAAUAAAAUACAGGAUCCCAAGCUUUGACCUUCUAUGUCAUCAUCAUCUUUGAAAUAUACAGGAAAAGGUGGGCUGUUUUGGCUUCCUACCAUGGAGGAGGACCUUGAAGGAGAAAAUUGGCAGACCUUCUCCAGUCCCUGGGGCUUCAGCAGGGCGGCUGAGGAUGAAGGAGAACAUAUUUGCCACCACUGGACAAAGUCAU